rfam:Dipodomys ordii contig_28471, whole genome shotgun sequence.
GGUGGCUCAGUGGUAGAGUGCUUGCCUCCAAUGCAUGAAGCCCUGGGUUCAAUUCCUCAGCACCA